GGGUGGGUUUGACGUCACUGCACAACUAACUAGUACCUAUAUCUAUAUUAUACUGUGUAUAUCUACUGAUGUAUGUGGCCUGUUGGUGUACUGUACCUGUAUAUAUAAGUGGUCCCCCCCCGUAUACCUCUGGUCUAAAGUAGUGUACUACAGGGGGCCAUUUAGUGGUGCGACAGGUACCUGUAUAUAUCAGGGGCCCCUCGUGGUCCCCCCCUCCCCCGUAUACCUCUGGUCUAAAGUAGUGGACUAUAGAGGGUGUAGUGUACCUCUGGUCUAAAGUAGUGCACUACAGGGGGCCAUUUAGUGGGGCGGCAGGUAGCCUAGUGGUUAGAGCGUUGGACUAGUAACCGAAAGGUUGCUGGAUGGAAUCCCCGAGCUGACAAGGUUAACAGUUAACCCACUGUUUCCCGGUAGGCAGUUAACCCACUGUUUCCCGGUAGGCAGUUAACCCACUGUUUCCCGGUAGGCAGUUAACCCACUGUUCCCCGGUAGGCAGUUAACCCACUGUUCCCCGGUAGGCAGUUAACCCACUGUUUCCCGGUAGGCAGUUAACCCACUGUUUCCCGGUAGGCCGUUAACCCACUGUUUCCCUGUAGGCAGUUAACCCACUGUUCCCCGGUAGGCAGUUAACCCACUGUUCCCCGGUAGGCAGUUAACCCACUGUUUUCCGGUAGGCAGUUAACCCAUUGUUUCCCGGUAGGCAGUUAACCCACUGUUUCCCGGUAGGCCGUCAUUGCAAAUAAGAAUUUGUUCUUAAACUGACUAGUUAAAUAAAGGUUAGAAUAAAAAUACAUACAUUUCAGACUCACUUUAUAUGGUUUCUACUGGUUUAUACCAGUCUUCCAGUCAGAUAACUGUGUUCUAUUGGUGCUCUAGUCUUUUUUAAACCCCGCCCCCUUUUCCAAAUUUAGGGUGUGGUUACAAUGUGGGCGACUCUUCACCCCGUCUCGCUGUAACCAAUAGCGCGC
ensembl:lncRNA